rnacentral:rRNA from 1 species
UGCUCCCAGUACGAGAGGACCGGAGUGAACGCAUCACUGGUGUUCGGGUUGUCAUGCCAAUGGCACUGCCCGGUAGCUAAAUGCGGAAGAGAUAAGUGCUGAAAGCAUCUAAGCACGAAACUUGCCCCGAGAUGAGUUCUCCCUGAGACUAUAAGUCUCCUGAAGGAACGUUGAAGACGACGACGUUGAUAGGCCGGGUGUGUAAGCGCAGCGAUGCGUUGAGCUAACCGGUACUAAUGAACCGUGAGGCUUAACCUU